UAAUAAUUAUAAUGAUAAUAAAAUUGAUAUUACAUUAAACAAAAUAGAGAUGAUAUCUACUUCUAGUACUGCAACUUAUAUUGAACUUGUUCCUGCCAGUAAUAACACAAGUCAUACUAAUAAUAGUAUUAAGGGAAGGAGUAAUGAUACCAGUAAAAAUAAUAGUAAUAGUAAUACAGAUUGUAAUAGUAAUACGGAUAAUAAUAGUAAUACGGAUAAUAAUAGUAAUANNNNNNNNNNAUAAUAGUAAUACAGAUAAUAGUAAUACAGAUAAUAAUAGUAAUACAUAUAAUAAUGACUUGUUAAUGUCUUACAACAACCAUUUUAAUAAUAAUUAUAACAGUAAUGAUUAUAAUAUUAUUUGUAAUAAUGGUAACCGAAGUGGUAGCACUAUUAAUUUGAAUAAGAAGAAAACAUAUAAAUAUACAAAUACAAACACAAAUACAGAUACAAGUAUAAAUACAGAUACAAAUUUAAAUACAAAUUUAAAUACAAAUACAAGUACAAAUACAAAUAUAAAUACAAAUAUAAAUACAAAUACAGAUACAAAUACAGAUACAAAUACAGAUACAAAUACAAACACAAAUACAAACACAAAUACAAACAACAAUGAUAAUUUAAACACAUUUAAUAAUUAUAAUAUAAAUAAUUAUAAUGAUUCAUAUAAUAAUUUAUAUCAUAAUAAAUAUGCUAAGAACAAUAGUGCUAGUUCAAAUAUAAAUACCCAUAAUAAAUAUAAAAACGAUAAUAAUCAGAACAGUAACAAUAACGAAUAUAAUAAUAGUAAUAAUAAUAAUAAUAAUAGUAAUAAUAAUAAUAGUAAUAAUAAUAGUAAUAGUAAUAAUAGUACUAGUAAUAGUUCUAGUAAUAAUAGUACUAGUAAUAGUACUAGUAAUAAUAACAUAAAUGUCGUUGAUAAUAUCAUAAGGAUUAGUGACAACAUGAACACUUGUAACAAUGCAAAUUAUAAAACAGAUAACUUCAAAAAUUCUUCGUAUAGUAAAAAAUAAAAUGUGUAGAUUCUUUUAAAUAUGAAAAUAAUAAAGUAAAUUAUAAUAAAAACCA
rnacentral:lncRNA from 1 species